rnacentral:rRNA from 1 species
AGGACGAACGCUGGCGGCGUGCUUAACACAUGCAAGUCGAGCGGAAAGGCCUUUCGGGGUACUCGAGCGGCGAACGGGUGAGUAACACGUGAGUAAUCUGCCCAUCGCUUCAGGAUAGCCAUCGGAAACGGUGAUUAAUACUGGAUAUGACAUUCCUUCGCAUGUUGGGGUGUGGUAAAGUUUUUUCGGCGGUGGAUGUGCUCGCGGCCUAUCAGCUUGUUGGUGGGUAAUGGCCUACCAAGGCUUUGGACGGGUAGCCGGCCUGAGAGGGUGACCGGCCACGACUGGACUGAGACACCGGCCAGACUCCGUACGGGAGGCAGCGAGGUGGGGAAUAGUUGGACAAGUGGGCGAAGCUGACUCCAGACAACGGCCGCGUAGGACGGAGUCGGACGGUCCGUUUCGGGUUACGGUAAACCUUCGUUUAC